AUCAUGCAGUCGACGAACUCUGGUAUUGAUUGGUGCUUGCAUCAUGAUUUACAUUUGAGUGAGUGGCGAACUGGUGAGUAACACGUGGGAAACCUGCCCAGAAGCGGGGGAUAACACCUGGAAACAGAUGCUAAUACCGCAUAACAACUUGGACCGCAUGGUCCGAGUUUGAAAGAUGGCUUCGGCUAUCACUUUUGGAUGGUCCCGCGGCGUAUUAGCUAGAUGGUGGGGUAACGGCUCACCAUGGCAAUGAUACGUAGCCGACCUGAGAGGGUAAUCGGCCACAUUGGGACUGAGACACGGCCCAAACUCCUACGGGAGGCAGCAGUAGGGAAUCUUCCACAAUGGACGAAAGUCUGAUGGAGCAACGCCGCGUGAGUGAAGAAGGGUUUCGGCUCGUAAAACUCUGUUGUUAAAGAAGAACAUAUCUGAGAGUAACUGUUCAGGUAUUGACGGUAUUUAACCAGAAAGCCACGGCUAACUACGUGCCAGCAGCCGCGGUAAUACGUAGGUGGCAAGCGUUGUCCGGAUUUAUUGGGCGUAAAGCGAGCGCAGGCGGUUUUUUAAGUCUGAUGUGAAAGCCUUCGGCUCAACCGAAGAAGUGCAUCGGAAACUGGGAAACUUGAGUGCAGAAGAGGACAGUGGAACUCCAUGUGUAGCGGUGAAAUGCGUAGAUAUAUGGAAGAACACCAGUGGCGAAGGCGGCUGUCUGGUCUGUAACUGACGCUGAGGCUCGAAAGUAUGGGUAGCAAACAGGAUUAGAUACCCUGGUAGUCCAUACCGUAAACGAUGAAUGCUAAGUGUUGGAGGGUUUCCGCCCUUCAGUGCUGCAGCUAACGCAUUAAGCAUUCCGCCUGGGGAGUACGGCCGCAAGGCUGAAACUCAAAGGAAUUGACGGGGGCCCGCACAAGCGGUGGAGCAUGUGGUUUAAUUCGAAGCUACGCGAAGAACCUUACCAGGUCUUGACAUACUAUGCAAAUCUAAGAGAUUAGACGUUCCCUUCGGGGACAUGGAUACAGGUGGUGCAUGGUUGUCGUCAGCUCGUGUCGUGAGAUGUUGGGUUAAGUCCCGCAACGAGCGCAACCCUUAUUAUCAGUUGCCAGCAUUAAGUUGGGCACUCUGGUGAGACUGCCGGUGACAAACCGGAGGAAGGUGGGGAUGACGUCAAAUCAUCAUGCCCCUUAUGACCUGGGCUACACACGUGCUACAAUGGAUGGUACAACGAGUUGCGAACUCGCGAGAGUAAGCUAAUCUCUUAAAGCCAUUCUCAGUUCGGAUUGUAGGCUGCAACUCGCCUACAUGAAGUCGGAAUCGCUAGUAAUCGCGGAUCAGCAUGCCGCGGUGAAUACGUUCCCGGGCCUUGUACACACCGCCCGUCACACCAUGAGAGUUUGUAACACCCAAAGUCGGUGGGGUAACCUUUUAGAACCA
rnacentral:rRNA from 2 species